AAUACGGAGGGUCCAAGCGUUAAUCGGAAUUACUGGGCGUAAAGCGCGCGUAGGCGGUUUGUCAAGUUGGAUGUGAAAUCCCUGGGCUCAACCUAGGAACUGCAUUCAAAACUUAUAGACUAGAGUACGAUAGAGGAGAGUAGGGUUCCUGGUGUAGCGGUGAAAUGCGUAGAUAUCAGGAGGAAUACCAAUGGCGAAGGCAACUCUCUGGAUCGACACUGACGCUGAGGUGCGAAAGCGUGGGUAGCAAACAGGAUUAGAUACCCUGGUAGUCCACGCCGUAAACGAUGAGAACUAGCCGUUGGAUCUUAGAUUCAGUGGUACAGCUAACGCAUUAAGUUCUCCGCCUGGGGAGUACGGCCGCAAGGCUAAAACUCAAAUGAAUUGACGGGGGCCCGCACAAGCGGUGGAGCAUGUGGUUUAAUUCGAUGCAACGCGAAAAACCUUACCAACCCUUGACAUCUAGUGAAAUUUCUAGAGAUAGAUUUGUGCCUUCGGGAACACUAUGACAGGUGUUGCAUGGCUGUCGUCAGCUCGUGUCGUGAGAUGUAUGGUUAAGUCCAGUAACGAGCGCAACCCCUAUUCUUAUUUGCCAGCACUUCGGGUGGGAACUAUAAGGAGACCGCCGUGUAUAACACGGAGGAAGGCGGGGACGACGUCAAGUCAUCAUGGCCCUUACGGGUUGGGCUACACACGUGCUACAAUGGGAGAUACAGAUGGUUGCGAAAGCGCGAGCUGGAGCUAAUCCCAAAAAGUCUUCCUCAGUCCGGAUUGGAGUCUGCAACUCGACUCCAUGAAGCAGGAAUCGCUAGUAAUCGUGAAUCAGAAUGUCACGGUGAAUACGUUCUCGGGCCUUGUACACACCGCCCGUCACGUCAUGGGAGUGUGUUGCACCAGAAGUGGUUUGCCUAACCUUUGGAGGGCGGCCCCCACGGUGUGAUACGCGACUGG
rnacentral:rRNA from 1 species